GACGGAGGGUGCAAGCGUUGUUCGGAUUGACUGGGCGUAAAGGGCGUGUAGGCGGUUUGUCAAGUCGGGUGUGAAAGCCUGGGGCUCAGCCUCCGAAGUGCAUCCGAAACUAGCGAGCUAGAGCGCGAUAGAGGAGGGUGGAAUUCCUGGUGUAGCGGUGAAAUGCGUAGAUAUCAGGAGGAACACCUGUGGUGUAGACAGCUUACUGGACCAUUUCUGACGCUGAGACACGAAAGCGUGGGUAGCAAACAGG
rnacentral:rRNA from 1 species